UGGGGAAUCUUGGACAAUGGGCGCAAGCCUGAUCCAGCCAUACCGCGUGGAUGAUGAAGGCCUUAGGGUUGUAAAAUCCUUUCGUGGGGGACGAUAAUGACGGUACCCCAAGAAGAAGCUCCGGCUAACUUCGUGCCAGCAGCCGCGGUAAUACGAAGGGGGCUAGCGUUGUUCGGAUUUACUGGGCGUAAAGCGCGUGUAGGCGGGUCGUUAAGUUGGGGGUGAAAUCCCGAGGCUCAACCUCGGAACUGCCUUCAAAACUGGCGACCUGGACUCAAGCAGAGGCAAGUGGAAUUGCGAGUGUAGAGGUGAAAUUCGUAGAUAUUCGCAGGAACACCAGUGGCGAAGGCGACUUGCUGGGCUUGUAGUGACGCUGAGACGCGAAAGCGUGGGGAGCAAACAGGAUUAGAUACCCAAGUAGUCCCUGAGCGGGCUGGCAAGGCGCAU
rnacentral:rRNA from 1 species